rnacentral:tRNA from 1 species
GUCCCGGUAGCUCAGCUGGUAGAGCAUGCGGCUGUUAACCGCAGGGUCAGAGGUCCGAGUCCUCUCCGGGACG